AGCAGCCGCGGUAAUUCCAGCUCCAAUAGCGUAUAUUAAAGUUGCUGCAGUUAAAAAGCUCGUAGUUGAAUUUCGGGAUCAUCAUGUCGGUCGUGCCUCGGUACGUACUGGCAUUGUUGGUUUCUGCCUUCUGACGAACCAUGAUGUCAUUUAUUUGGUGUCGUGGGAAAUCAGGACUGUUACUUUGAAAAAAUUAGAGUGUUUAAAGCAGGCUCACGCUUGAAUACAUUAGCAUGGAAUAAUGAAAUAGGACGUUUGAUUCUAUUUUGUUGGUUUCUAGGAUCGACGUAAUGAUUAAUAGGGAUAGUUGGGGGCAUUAGUAUUCAAUUGUCAGAGGUGAAAUUCUUGGAUUUAUUGAAGACUAACUACUGCGAAAGCAUUUGCCAAGGAUGUUUUCAUUAAUCAAGAACGAAAGUUAGGGGAUCGAAGACGAUCAGAUACCGUCGUAGU
rnacentral:rRNA from 1 species